rnacentral:rRNA from 1 species
UACGAAGGGGGCUAGCGUUGUUCGGAAUUACUGGGCGUAAAGCGUGCGCAGGCGGUUCUAUAAGACAGAUGUGAAAUCCCCGGGCUCAACCUGGGAACUGCAUUUGUGACUGUAGAGCUGGAGUACGGCAGAGGGGGAUGGAAUUCCGCGUGUAGCAGUGAAAUGCGUAGAUAUGCGGAGGAACACCGAUGGCGUAGGCAGUCUACUGGCUCAUUGCUGACACUAAGGCACGAAAGCGUGGGGAGCGAACGGG